AGUACAGACGAGUUUGAUCCUGGCUCAGGAUGAACGCUAGCGGCAGGCUUAAUACAUGCAAGUCGAGGGGCAGCACGGGUAGCAAUACCUGGUGGCGACCGGCAAACGGGUGCGGAACACGUACGCAACCUUCCCAUAACUGGUGAAUAGCCCUCCGAAAGGAGGAUUAAUACACCGUAACUUAACGAAGUGGCAUCACUUUGUUAAUAUAGGCUUCGGCCGGUUUUGGAUGGGCGUGCGCCUGAUUAGGUAGUUGGCGGGGUAACGGCCCACCAAGCCUGCGAUCAGUAACUGGUGUGAGAGCACGACCAGUCACACGGGCACUGAGACACGGGCCCGACUCCUACGGGAGGCAGCAGUAAGGAAUAUUGGUCAAUGGACGAAAGUCUGAACCAGCCAUGCCGCGUGAAGGAUUAAGGCCCUCUGGGUUGUAAACUUCUUUUAUCUGGGACGAAAAAAGGGUAUUCUUACUCACUUGACGGUACCAGAGGAAUAAGCACCGGCUAACUCCGUG
rnacentral:rRNA from 1 species